UAAAGAUUCAUCGCUGAUAGAUAGGCAUGCGUUCCAUUAGGCAGUUGGCGGGGUAACGGCCCACCAAACCGACGAUGGAUAGGGGUUCUGAGAGGAAGGUCCCCCACAUUGGUACUGAGACACGGACCAAACUCCUACGGGAGGCAGCAGUGAGGAAUAUUGGUCAAUGGGCGUAAGCCCGAACCAGCCAAGUCGCGUGAGGGAUGAAGGUUCUAUGGAUCGUAAACCUCUUUUAUAAGGGAAUAAAGUGCGGGACGUGUCCCGUUUUGUAUGUACCUUAUGAAUAAGGAUCGGCUAACUCCGUGCCAGCAGCCGCGGUAAUACGGAGGAUCCGAGCGUUAUCCGGAUUUAUUGGGUUUAAAGGGUGCGUAGGCGGCCUUUUAAGUCAGCGGUGAAAGUCUGUGGCUCAACCAUAGAAUUGCCGUUGAAACUGGGAGGCUUGAGUAUGUUUGAGGCAGGCGGAAUGCGUGGUGUAGCGGUGAAAUGCUUAGAUAUCACGCAGAACCCCGAUUGCGAAGGCAGCCUGCCAAGCCAUGACUGACGCUGGUGCACGAAAGCGUGGGGAUCAAACAGGAUUAGAUACCCUGGUAGUCCACGCAGUAAACGAUGAUCACUAGCUGUUUGCGAUACACAGUAA
rnacentral:rRNA from 1 species